AAGCUGUCCAUGGAUCGCCUUUGGAGAGGAUUUGCAAAGGCCAAUGUGGUGCUGGUGACUACAGCAUGAAGAGUUCCAGAAUCUCCCUAUGUUCCUGGCUUAAAAGGAACUUGGGAUCCCAGGAGUUGAGGAAAUCCAGAGAUGUUAAGAUUUUUACAGGCCUAUCACCUUUGAGAACAGUGUUCAUGAGAUGGAGACACUGACUGAAAACUACACUUUGAAUAUUUUGGGAGAGAGUGGAACAGUUAGCAAUUUGAUUGUGCUUGGUAUCAAGUUUCUUAUGAAAAUCUCCCACCCCCAAAGCACAGAUUCUAAUAAAACAAAAUUAUAAAAUAAGA